rnacentral:lncRNA from 1 species
AAUUAAAGGGAAGCCUAAUAAUUGGUGCUUGAGGUGAAGGGAAGUGGAUGCAAAAGGAGGAAGGGCUGUGCUGAGUUCUGUAGUUCCAGGCUCAGCCUGAGGCUGGAAUUUUGUGGUUUAUGCCAGGAGAAACCAUUUGCCACCCUAGGAAUGCCUCUCUGGGGGUUACUGGGAGCGUGCUGGAGGCACAGCCCUUGGGGGAGCUCAAGAUUGCUGUGGCAAUGUGAGUGCUCUUUUGUGACAUCCAGCAAGCUGCUGCUUCCAGCUCUGCCUUAAAUCACCGUUGAAAUAGCUGUCAAAAUAAGCUGCUAAAAUCUGCAAA